rnacentral:rRNA from 1 species
GACGAACGCUGGCGGCGUGCUUAACACAUGCAAGUCGAGCGGUAAGGCCCUUUCGGGGGUACGCGAGCGGCGAACGGGUGAGUAACACGUGGGUGACCUGCCCUCAGCUCUGGGAUAAGCCUGGGAAACCGGGUCUAAUACCGGAUAUGACUCCAUGACGCAUGUUGUGGGGUGGAAAGCCUUGUGCGGCUGAGGAUGGGCCCGCGGCCUAUCAGCUUGUUGGUGGGGUGAUGGCCUACCAAGGCGACGACGGGUAGCCGGCCUGAGAGGGCGACCGGCCACACUGGGACUGAGACACGGCCCAGACUCCUACGGGAGGCAGCAGUGGGGAAUCUUGCGCGAUGGGCGAAAGCCUGACGCAGCGACGCCGCGUGA